rnacentral:rRNA from 1 species
AUUGAACGCUGGCGGAAUGCUUUACACAUGCAAGUCGAACGGCAGCACGGGUGCUUGCACCUGGUGGCGAGUGGCGAACGGGUGAGUAAUACAUCGGAACGUACCCAGUUGUGGGGGAUAACUAACCGAAAGGUUAGCUAAUACCGCAUACGACCUGAGGGUGAAAGCGGGGGACCGUAAGGCCUCGCGCAAUUGGAGCGGCCGAUGUCUGAUUAGCUAGUUGGUGAGGUAAAGGCUCACCAAGGCGACGAUCAGUAGCAGGUCUGAGAGGAUGAUCUGCCACACUGGAACUGAGACACGGUCCAGACUCCUACGGGAGGCAGCAGUGGGGAAUUUUGGACAAUGGGCGAAAGCCUGAUCCAGCCAUUCCGCGUGAGUGAAGAAGGCCUUCGGGUUGUAAAGCUCUUUCGGCAGGGAAGAAACGGUCUAGGUUAAUACCUUGGGCUAAUGACGGUACCUGAAGAAGAAGCACCGGCUAACUACGUGCCAGCAGCCGCCGUAAAAC